rnacentral:snRNA from 1 species
AUCCCUCGCGGGUGCACCGC